rnacentral:rRNA from 1 species
GGGUUGUGAGGUUAAGCGACUAAGCGUACACGGUGGAUGCCCUGGCAGUCAGAGGCGAUGAAGGACGUGCUAAUCUGCGAUAAGCGUCGGUAAGGUGAUAUGAACCGUUAUAACCGGCGAUUUCCGAAUGGGGAAACCCAGUGUGAUUCGUCACACUAUCAUUAACUGAAUCCAUAGGUUAAUGAGGCGAACCGGGGGAACUGAAACAUCUAAGUACCCCGAGGAAAAGAAAUCAACCGAGAUUCCCCCAGUAGCGGCGAGCGAACGGGGAGCAGCCCAGAGCCUGAAUCAGUGUGUGUGUUAGUGGAAGCGUCUGGAAAGGCGCGCGAUACAGGGUGACAGCCCCGUACACAAAAAUGCACAUACUGUGAGCUCGAUGAGUAGGGCGGGACACGUGGUAUCCUGUCUGAAUAUGGGGGGACCAUCCUCCAAGGCUAAAUACUCCUGACUGACCGAUAGUGAACCAGUACCGUGAGGGAAAGGCGAAAAGAACCCCGGCGAGGGGAGUGAAAAAGAACCUGAAACCGUGUACGUACAAGCAGUGGGAGCCUCUUAAUGGGGUGACUGCGUACCUUUUGUAUAAUGGGUCAGCGACUUAUAUUCUGUAGCAAGGUUAACCGAAUAGGGGAGCCGAAGGGAAACCGAGUCUUAACUGGGCGUUAAGUUGCAGGGUAUAGACCCGAAACCCGGUGAUCUAGCCAUGGGCAGGUUGAAGGUUGGGUAACACUAACUGGAGGACCGAACCGACUAAUGUUGAAAAAUUAGCGGAUGACUUGUGGCUGGGGGUGAAAGGCCAAUCAAACCGGGAGAUAGCUGGUUCUCCCCGAAAGCUAUUUAGGUAGCGCCUCGUGAAUUCAUCUCCGGGGGUAGAGCACUGUUUCGGCAAGGGGGUCAUCCCGACUUACCAACCCGAUGCAAACUGCGAAUACCGGAGAAUGUUAUCACGGGAGACACACGGCGGGUGCUAACGUCCGUCGUGAAGAGGGAAACAACCCAGACCGCCAGCUAAGGUCCCAAAGUCAUGGUUAAGUGGGAAACGAUGUGGGAAGGCCCAGACAGCCAGGAUGUUGGCUUAGAAGCAGCCAUCAUUUAAAGAAAGCGUAAUAGCUCACUGGUCGAGUCGGCCUGCGCGGAAGAUGUAACGGGGCUAAACCAUGCACCGAAGCUGCGGCAGCGACGCUUAUGCGUUGUUGGGUAGGGGAGCGUUCUGUAAGCCUGCGAAGGUGUACUGUGAGGUAUGCUGGAGGUAUCAGAAGUGCGAAUGCUGACAUAAGUAACGAUAAAGCGGGUGAAAAGCCCGCUCGCCGGAAGACCAAGGGUUCCUGUCCAACGUUAAUCGGGGCAGGGUGAGUCGACCCCUAAGGCGAGGCCGAAAGGCGUAGUCGAUGGGAAACAGGUUAAUAUUCCUGUACUUGGUGUUACUGCGAAGGGGGGACGGAGAAGGCUAUGUUGGCCGGGCGACGGUUGUCCCGGUUUAAGCGUGUAGGCUGGUUUUCCAGGCAAAUCCGGAAAAUCAAGGCUGAGGCGUGAUGACGAGGCACUACGGUGCUGAAGCAACAAAUGCCCUGCUUCCAGGAAAAGCCUCUAAGCAUCAGGUAACAUCAAAUCGUACCCCAAACCGACACAGGUGGUCAGGUAGAGAAUACCAAGGCGCUUGAGAGAACUCGGGUGAAGGAACUAGGCAAAAUGGUGCCGUAACUUCGGGAGAAGGCACGCUGAUACGUAGGUGAAGUCCCUUGCGGAUGGAGCUGAAAUCAGUCGAAGAUACCAGCUGGCUGCAACUGUUUAUUAAAAACACAGCACUGUGCAAACACGAAAGUGGACGUAUACGGUGUGACGCCUGCCCGGUGCCGGAAGGUUAAUUGAUGGGGUUAGCGGUAACGCGAAGCUCUUGAUCGAAGCCCCGGUAAACGGCGGCCGUAACUAUAACGGUCCUAAGGUAGCGAAAUUCCUUGUCGGGUAAGUUCCGACCUGCACGAAUGGCGUAAUGAUGGCCAGGCUGUCUCCACCCGAGACUCAGUGAAAUUGAACUCGCUGUGAAGAUGCAGUGUACCCGCGGCAAGACGGAAAGACCCCGUGAACCUUUACUAUAGCUUGACACUGAACAUUGAGCCUUGAUGUGUAGGAUAGGUGGGAGGCUUUGAAGUGUGGACGCCAGUCUGCAUGGAGCCGACCUUGAAAUACCACCCUUUAAUGUUUGAUGUUCUAACGUUGGCCCCUAAUCGGGGUUGCGGACAGUGUCUGGUGGGUAGUUUGACUGGGGCGGUCUCCUCCUAAAGAGUAACGGAGGAGCACGAAGGUUGGCUAAUCCUGGUCGGACAUCAGGAGGUUAGUGCAAUGGCAUAAGCCAGCUUGACUGCGAGCGUGACGGCGCGAGCAGGUGCGAAAGCAGGUCAUAGUGAUCCGGUGGUUCUGAAUGGAAGGGCCAUCGCUCAACGGAUAAAAGGUACUCCGGGGAUAACAGGCUGAUACCGCCCAAGAGUUCAUAUCGACGGCGGUGUUUGGCACCUCGAUGUCGGCUCAUCACAUCCUGGGGCUGAAGUAGGUCCCAAGGGUAUGGCUGUUCGCCAUUUAAAGUGGUACGCGAGCUGGGUUUAGAACGUCGUGAGACAGUUCGGUCCCUAUCUGCCGUGGGCGCUGGAGAACUGAGGGGGGCUGCUCCUAGUACGAGAGGACCGGAGUGGACGCAUCACUGGUGUUCGGGUUGUCAUGCCAAUGGCACUGCCCGGUAGCUAAAUGCGGAAGAGAUAAGUGCUGAAAGCAUCUAAGCACGAAACUUGCCCCGAGAUGAGUUCUCCCUGACUCCCUGAGAGUCCUGAAGGAACGUUGAAGACGACGACGUUGAUAGGCCGGGUGUGUAAGCGCAGCGAUGCGUUGAGCUAACCGGUACUAAUGAACCGUGAGGCUUAACCUUACAACGCCGAAG